AUUGAACGCUGGCGGCAGGCCUAACACAUGCAAGUCGAGCGGAGCGGCGGACGGGUGAGUAAUACCUAGGAAGCUGCCUGAUAGAGGGUGAUAACGAUCGGAAAGAGACGCUAAUACCGCAUACUAUCAGAUGAGCCUAGGUCGGAUUAGCUAGUUAGUUAGGUAAUGGCUCACCAAGCCGACGAUCCGUAACUGGUCUGAGAGGAGGAUCAGUAACACUGGAACUGAGACACGGUCCAGACUCCUACGGGAGGCAGCAGUGGGGAAUAUUGGACAAUGGGCGAAAGCCUGAUACAGCCAUGCCGCGUGUGUGAAGAAGGUCUUCGGAUUGUAAAGCACUUUAAGUUGGGAGGCGUUACCGACAGAAUAAGCACCGGCUAACUCCGUGCCAGCAGCCGCGGUAAUAC
rnacentral:rRNA from 1 species